AGCCUUCUGUAUUCGUGCUGAGAUUUCGUCAGGGAUCAACCCGUUGGUGUUGGCUGAUGGUACUUCCUAAAUAAGUGAAGCG
rfam:Trichobilharzia regenti genome assembly, scaffold: TRE_scaffold0012334